GCCAGACUCCUACGGGAGGCAGCAGUGGGGAAUUUUGGACAAUGGGCGCAAGCCUGAUCCAGCUAUUCCGCGUGUGGGAAGACGGCCUUCGGGUUGUAAACCACUUUUGUAGAGAACGAAAAGUCUGUUGAUAAUACCGAUAGAUGAUGACGGUACUCUAAGAAUAAGCACCGGCUAACUACGUGCCAGCAGCCGCGGUAAUACGGAGGAUGCGAGCGUUAUCCGGAUUUAUUGGGUUUAAAGGGUGCGUAGGCGGAAUGCCAAGUCAGCGGUAAAAUCGCGGGGCUCAACCUCGCUCCGCCGUUGAAACUGGCGUUCUUGAGUGGGCGAGAAGUAUGCGGAAUGCGUGGUGUAGCGGUGAAAUGCAUAGAUAUCACGCAGAACUCCGAUUGCGAAGGCAGCAUACCGGCGCCCAACUGACGCUGAAGCACGAAAGCGUGGGUAUCGAACAGGAUUAGAUACCCUAGUAC
rnacentral:rRNA from 1 species